GGCAACGUGCCAGAGUGGUUAAUGGGUGAGACUCGAACUUACGAAUUGCAUAGUUCGAAUCCUGUCGUUGUCG
rnacentral:tRNA from 1 species